UUAAGCGACUAAGCGUACACGGUGGAUGCCCUGGCAGUCAGAGGCGAUGAAGGACGUGCUAAUCUGCGAAAAGCGUCGGUAAGGUGAUAUGAACCGUUAUAACCGGCGAUGUCCGAAUGGGGAAACCCAGUGCAAUUCGUUGCACUAUCGUUAACUGAAUACAUAGGUUAACGAGGCGAACCGGGGGAACUGAAACAUCUAAGUACCCCGAGGAAAAGAAAUCAACCGAGAUUCCCCCAGUAGCGGCGAGCGAACGGGGAGCAGCCCAGAGUCUGAAUCAGCUUGUGUGUUAGUGGAACGGUCUGGAAAGUCCGACGGUACAGGGUGAUAGUCCCGUACACCAAAAUGCACAGGUUGUGAACUCGAAGAGUAGGGCGGGACACGUGGUAUCCUGUCUGAAUAUGGGGGGACCAUCCUCCAAGGCUAAAUACUCCUGACUGACCGAUAGUGAACCAGUACCGUGAGGGAAAGGCGAAAAGAACCCCGGCGAGGGGAGUGAAAAAGAACCUGAAACCGUGUACGUACAAGCAGUGGGAGCACCUUCGGGUGUGACUGCGUACCUUUUGUAUAAUGGGUCAGCGACUUAUAUUCUGUAGCAAGGUUAACCGUAUAGGGGAGCCGCAGGGAAACCGAGUCUUAACUGGGCGUUAAGUUGCAGGGUAUAGACCCGAAACCCGGUGAUCUAGCCAUGGGCAGGUUGAAGGUUGGGUAACACUAACUGGAGGACCGAACCGACUAAUGUUGAAAAAUUAGCGGAUGACUUGUGGCUGGGGGUGAAAGGCCAAUCAAACCGGGAGAUAGCUGGUUCUCCCCGAAAGCUAUUUAGGUAGCGCCUCGUGAACUCAUCUUCGGGGGUAGAGCACUGUUUCGGCUAGGGGGUCAUCCCGACUUACCAACCCGAUGCAAACUACGAAUACCGAAGAAUGUUAUCACGGGAGACACACGGCGGGUGCUAACGUCCGUCGUGAAGAGGGAAACAACCCAGACCGCCAGCUAAGGUCCCAAAGUCAUGGUUAAGUGGGAAACGAUGUGGGAAGGCACAGACAGCCAGGAUGUUGGCUUAGAAGCAGCCAUCAUUUAAAGAAAGCGUAAUAGCUCACUGGUCGAGUCGGCCUGCGCGGAAGAUGUAACGGGGCUAAACCAUGCACCGAAGCUGCGGCAGCGACACUAUGUGUUGUUGGGUAGGGGAGCGUUCUGUAAGCCUGCGAAGGUGUGCUGUGAGGCAUGCUGGAGGUAUCAGAAGUGCGAAUGCUGACAUAAGUAACGAUAAAGCGGGUGAAAAGCCCGCUCGCCGGAAGACCAAGGGUUCCUGUCCAACGUUAAUCGGGGCAGGGUGAGUCGACCCCUAAGGCGAGGCCGAAAGGCGUAGUCGAUGGGAAACAGGUUAAUAUUCCUGUACUUGGUGUUACUGCGAAGGGGGGGACGGAGAAGGCUAUGUUAGCCGGGCGACGGUUGUCCCGGUUUAAGCAUGUAGGCUGAUUGUCCAGGCAAAUCCGGAUAAUCAAGGCUGAGGUGUGAUGACGAGGCACUACGGUGCUGAAGUAACAAAUGCCCUGCUUCCAGGAAAAGCCUCUAAGCAUCAGGUAACAUCAAAUCGUACCCCAAACCGACACAGGUGGUCAGGUAGAGAAUACCAAGGCGCUUGAGAGAACUCGGGUGAAGGAACUAGGCAAAAUGGUGCCGUAACUUCGGGAGAAGGCACGCUGGUGUGUAGGUGAAGCCCCUGCGGGUGGAGCUGAGACCAGUCGAAGAUACCAGCUGGCUGCAACUGUUUAUUAAAAACACAGCACUGUGCAAACACGAAAGUGGACGUAUACGGUGUGACGCCUGCCCGGUGCCGGAAGGUUAAUUGAUGGGGUUAUCCGUAAGGAGAAGCUCUUGAUCGAAGCCCCGGUAAACGGCGGCCGUAACUAUAACGGUCCUAAGGUAGCGAAAUUCCUUGUCGGGUAAGUUCCGACCUGCACGAAUGGCGUAAUGAUGGCCAGGCUGUCUCCACCCGAGACUCAGUGAAAUUGAACUCGCUGUGAAGAUGCAGUGUACCCGCGGCAAGACGGAAAGACCCCGUGAACCUUUACUAUAGCUUGACACUGAACAUUGAGCCUUGAUGUGUAGGAUAGGUGGGAGGCUUUGAAGCGUGGACGCCAGUCUGCGUGGAGCCAACCUUGAAAUACCACCCUUUAAUGUUUGAUGUUCUAACGUUGGCCCCUGACCGGGGUUGCGGACAGUGUCUGGUGGGUAGUUUGACUGGGGCGGUCUCCUCCCAAAGCGUAACGGAGGAGCACGAAGGUUAGCUAAUCCUGGUCGGACAUCAGGAGGUUAGUGCAAUGGCAUAAGCUAGCUUGACUGCGAGCGUGACGGCGCGAGCAGGUGCGAAAGCAGGUCAUAGUGAUCCGGUGGUUCUGAAUGGAAGGGCCAUCGCUCAACGGAUAAAAGGUACUCCGGGGAUAACAGGCUGAUACCGCCCAAGAGUUCAUAUCGACGGCGGUGUUUGGCACCUCGAUGUCGGCUCAUCACAUCCUGGGGCUGAAGUAGGUCCCAAGGGUAUGGCUGUUCGCCAUUUAAAGUGGUACGCGAGCUGGGUUUAGAACGUCGUGAGACAGUUCGGUCCCUAUCUGCCGUGGGCGCUGGAGAAUUGAGGGGGGCUGCUCCUAGUACGAGAGGACCGGAGUGGACGCAUCACUGGUGUUCGGGUUGUCAUGCCAAUGGCACUGCCCGGUAGCUAAAUGCGGAAGAGAUAAGUGCUGAAAGCAUCUAAGCACGAAACUUGCCCCGAGAUGAGUUCUCCCUGAGACUUUAAGUCUCCUGAAGGAACGUUGAAGACGACGACGUUGAUAGGCCGGGUGUGUAAGCGCAGCGAUGCGUUGAGCUAACCGGUACUAAUGAACCGUGAGGCUUAACCUU
rnacentral:rRNA from 1 species